ensembl:snRNA U2 U2 spliceosomal RNA
AUUGCUUCUUGGCCUUUUGGCUAAGAUCAAGUGUAGUAUAUAUGUUCUUAUCAGUUUGUAACACCAUUGUGUUGUUUAUAGUGGCAAGAAAAAAAAAAGUCUGGUAAUGAAUAGUUACCUAAGUCUUAGUAAACCUAC